rnacentral:lncRNA from 1 species
GUCUGGUCCAAAGAGACAACUACAGAUUUACAUUAUUCUAGGUAUUUCUCUUGUAGGUAAGUUAAAUAAUAACGCCAUUGGUUAUCUUUUUUCCCUUUAAUUAUAUUAAUUUUUAACAACUGGGUUAGAUUAAGAGUUUAUUUCCAUUUGGAGAGAUUUUGCUUUCAAAUAUAAUGAAUGAUGAAUUUAGAACUCCUGGUUAAACAGCAAAUCACAUUAAUACGAUAUGUUCAAGGAACUUGUGAACGCUAUAGGCAAUUUUAGCUAACAUUAUUAAGAAAAUAGCAGGAAUCUAUAGAUUACCUUGGGAAGAUUGCUUUUGCAAUUGAAUGUGUAUCAAUUUGUAUGUAGCAAUGAUUAAAAUACAAAUUUCCAAUUAAAUGGUGUCUUAUCAAAUCAGAAGGAAUGUGUUUUCCCCAAUUACAAACAAGGAGUUGAACUCACCUCCCGUAAUCAGUGUAUACACUGAACUAAGACUGGCUAUGGAGGCAUGCAUAUUACAAUUAGGAUUUUUUUCAUUCAGUGCCACUGAAGUUUUUGAGGUCUGAGACAGUGCUGUCUGAAGUACAAUAUUUCCUUAUUUAACUCCCUUGCCUUAGCUUGCAAUGCCCAGUGUUAAGACUCGGCUUAACUUUCCAUUGGGCUAGUUCAAACACUUAAACAGCAACAUCCCAAAUGCAGGCUCUUAAAUAGUACUUGUUUCUUGUUAAUAUUACUUGCUACUUGUUAACAUUGCUAUCGAUAAUGACAAUAGGAAGUUUUUAAUUCUAAAAUAAUACUUGCAUCUAGCAAAAUGUUUCCUAUAAAGAAAAUUCCAAAAAUAAUCUGAUCGAUGCACUUAAUUAAGGGAAUUUUUCUUCUUCUUCUUCUUCUUUUUUGUUAAGGGCCACACACACAGCACAUGGAAGGGUAGGAGUCCAAUCUGAGCUGCAGCUGCCGGCCUACACCACGGUCACAGCAACACCAGAUCUGAGCCACAUGUGCGACCUACACCGCAGCUCAGGCAAUGCCGGAUCCACAACCCCUGAGCGAGGCCAGGAAUUGAACCUGCAACCCCAUGGUUACUAGUGGGAUUCAUUUCUGCUGCACCACAGUGGGAACUCUGGAUCCAACAUUUUCUCUGGAGGCAUGGGUUCAAUCCAGUGGGUUAAAGAUCCUGUGUGAGCACAGCUGUGGUGUGGGUCACAGCUGCAGCUCAGAUUUGAUCCCUGGCCCAGGGACUUCCCUGUGCCAAGGUUGCUGCCAAAAAAGGAACAAAGAGUAAAUUCGAAACACCUUGCCUGGGUUGGUCACCUCCUGUGAGUGUCUGGGGAUAAGCGCAUCCUUCCUAAGAGCACACGUCCCCACCCCCUGCGCCCACAUCCACCGCCCUGGGGCCAUCUUCCCCGUCACCUGCACGUCCUCCGUCCCCACGAGGUGACGCUGCCUUUGCCCAGGAGCUCACGUUCCCAGUUUUCUCGCUUAAGACCCUCGACCACUUCCUAUGCAUGUGCUCCUUUGCUGUUUUCCUCACCUUCUUUUUUAAUGUUCUGAGGACAGACUCCAUCUGACCCCAUUUCUCUCUGUAGGGUCCAGUCCAAAGCCUGGAACAGCAGAGCCAGCCCAUGAGUAAUGGCUCCUUUGGUGAAUCCUUGGUCUUUGAAACUAUCAGUGUUGGGAUGACAGCACGAAAGAGUGACAGUGUUUUAAAAAAUCUAAAAUUCCAUUUAAGGCCUGGGUGUAUGAGGAUGAAUACCUUAGUUCUUUUGGGGUUCAUAUAAUCAGUACAAAAGCAGAAAUUAAUACUUUAGAUCACCUUCUUGGUUUGUUAACUUCGCUUUAUUUUUCGUCCCUGGCCAAACUUUACAAACUCACGUCACCACCCUAAGAGAAAAGAAAAAAAGUUGUAGCCACCCCAGAUCAACCUAUUUUCACCUUUCAAAAACUAAACCUAAAGGACAUGGUGCGGUGACUUUUUGUACACGAAACACACACACACAUACUCGUUGACAGGGAUAUUAGAACAAUUCACCAAUUCUGAUGACAUUUUAUUUGCAUACACUGAUGGUUGCGGUACCUACUUCAACAUCUAUGUUCUGAUGGCAGCAAAGAUUUUCAACAUGAAAAUGAUUAUCUGAGUUGCUAUUGCUCAGGAACGUUAGCCACUGCUAACAGGGCCCAGCUGGAUUCUCAAAGCAUUUCCAAUUUUUAUUCUUGACAGUGGGUAUGUGGAAGUGUAUGUGCACACCCUUCCCUUCAGACGAGAGGCGACAAAGGGACAUUCUUCCUGCCUGGAGCAGGGACCAGCCCAGAAACACUUUUCCUUCUUCCUCUCCUUUCAGAAGAGCGAUCUGCAUACGUGCCAGCCACCUGCAGUUCCUCAGGUAGGACGCAUCUUGAGAGCAGAGCCUUCUGGAAGGACCGUGCUGAGGCGAAGAUUACCUGGAAGCUUUUGAGAUGUGACUUUAAGGAAGUACAAGGUUGCUUGUGUUAACUUCCAAGAAAUAUUUCUGCCGUUUGUCUUCACACCAAAAGGGCUCAAGCCACAUCUGUCGGACUGUUUUUCUGAACAAGGUGUGCUUGUUCUAUCAAGGAUAUACCGAUAAUUCAAGGUAAUCAGCAGAGUGCAUUACUGGAGAAAAUCUGAACCAACAAGCUGUACAAACAGAAUAGCAAUCAGAAGAUUUAAUGCAUUUCUGAGGUACAUUUAAAGCACUGACACUGGGCCGCAGAUGUACAUGUGUUGUGUUGUAUAUUGCUGAGGUAUGGCUUGUGAGAACCUAUUACAGCAUAUCAUCAUCAACAACACUGGGGGUUGGGGAGGAAAAAUUCCAUCACACAUUACUCCUGCGGAUGUAUUAGAGAAACAAAUUGUACUCGGAAUUGAAAAGUCACAGGCUUCUUCUGGCUUAAUCAAUUCCUGCCAAAAGGCUAAGUGUAAGGCUAGAAAUACUUCCCAAAUGUUGUUACUGUAUUAUCAUCUUUGACAUCUCGAGGGCUGCUCCAAGAACCAUCAGAUAUCAGUUCAGGGUUCUCACAAUACAGUCUCUUUUUUCUUCCCCUCUCCUUUUUCUCCCAAACAGUUUGGAGAAAAGCAGACUUUUCUAUAAGGUGUUUGUUCCCAGGUGGCUCCCGUCAGCUAAUCUCAACAGGUUCAUAAUGCGAGGGGCUCAUCUUUACUGUAAACUUCCCAUCAGACUUGAUGAAAGAGUCCCAAGAUCGGUCAGGCGGGACAGGUUAAAACAGAGAAGUAAAAAUGUCAACUCCGAUUCUUUUGAGGGCACAUUAAGGUUGCUGGUUAUCUCUAUGGCUGCAGAGGUAAAACAGUUGAAUAUUCUACAAACAUCUGUUACAUAAAUGAAAGAAUGAUGGUGACUAAAUGCAAUGAUGAUGCUUUAAAAUACCCUAAUGAUAAAUACCCUGCUUACCCUUUUACAAACCGAGACACAAGAUAUCAGUUUUACCAAGCUAAGUUCUUGGCUUAGAUUGUCCCUUUUUAUUUUAUUAGUCUACUUGGAGGUCUCUUAAAAGUGGUUAUCUUUUUAUCUUGUCAUCCCAGCAUUGUUUCAUCAAAAGCUAGAGCUGUAGGCAUAGGGAGGGGUGGGGUGGGGGUUUGGGAUUGGCAUAUGCAAACUGGUGUAUAUGAAACAAUUGGCCAAUAGGGACCUGCUGUAUAGCACAGAGAACUCUCCUCAAUAUUCUGUGAUGGUGUAUGUGGGAAAGGAAUCUGAAAAAGAAUGGAUGUGUAUAACUCAAUCUCUUUGUUGUACAGCAGAAAUUACCAAAGCAAUGUAUGUAAAUCAACUAUACUUCAAUAAAACAUUGAAAAAUGAAAGAUAAUCUGGCCUUAAUUCUAAAAUAGACCAAAAAAACAAAAAAACAACAAAAACAAAAACAAAACCCUGAGAACAAGCCAUGGAAGUAAAUGAUUAUGCAAUCCAAAGAUUUGUUACUUGCUAUAGAAGUGUGUAUUAGUUAUCUAGGGCUGUGUAACAAACCAUCCCCAAAUAUAGAGUGCCCCAAGCAGCAAAGAUUUAUUAUCUUACAGUUUCUGUGUCUCUGGGAACUGGGUAUAGCUUAUUUGAGUUCUCUGUUCAAGAUCUCACAUGCAAUCACAAUCGAGCUGUCACCCAGGGUUGUGGCAUCUCCGGGACUUCCUGGGCCAGGCUGAUUCAUGGCACCUGAGUGACCUCAUGGUACAGCAACUCGUGAUAGGAGACAGGGCUCCAGAGAGUAGUCAAGAUGGAAGCCAGAGUCCUUUGUGUCCUGAUCUCAGGAGUUAAAAAAUACCAGCACUUCUGUCAUGUCUAUUCACAGGAAGUAAAUAAAUAAGAUCAGUGGCGGGGGGGUGGGGUGGAAUUAUACAAGAACAUGAAUACAAGAGGCAGGGAUCAUUGGUCACACCUUGGUGCAUAUCUACCAUAAAGAGUGUCAACAGUAGACUUCACUUUCAAGAAGCAUACUGCCUCAGGAAAUGAUGGGUAAUAGCUCCCGUCCAAUUAUAGAGUGAAAUGAGGGGGUUUCUCAAGGACACGUAUUCGCUCCCAUCCCAGGUACCAUCCACGACUACGGACGGGUUCAUCACAGACGUGUGUUUUAGGAAGAAGGAAAGAAGUGAAGGGGAAGUUGGAGGAAGUCCUGUUUGAACAAUUACAUAUCCGAGUUCUGUGCUAGACACUGUCAGGCCCUGCUCUAUUCUCAUAGCAACUUGCAUAGCAUCUCGAUAUUGUUGCCAGAUGAGCUACAGGGACUCAGAACACAAACCCAACUCACCUGUCUUGCUGGAAAACAGUUCUUUCUGCCCCACCUAAGCGUCACAGUGCUCACCUCCACAGACUUGGAGGUUGAAGAGUUGAUUCCUAGCCCAACCCCCCCUUUUCCGGUUGACACCCUGUGAUGUCAAUCAAGGCACAUGGACGUUUUAAGACUUCUUAAGCUCAGUUUCCUGAACUGGAAAGUAGAGGAUUUCUAGCACAGAACUUAUGACUUCAGGGUAUCCACAACUUUGAGUAAGGUCAAAGCGCAAUCGCGUGGUAUCCCGACGGCUUGAUGGUCAGAGAUGGGAGGGCGAGCAUAGUUAUUUUGACUCCUCAUCUGCAUUUUCACAGUUCUUGCUGCCUCUGCACCAGCUCUCACUCAUUCGUCCUCAUGGCAAAUGUGGAUUCUGAACAUACUCUUUCUAAGAACUAUUCGUACAGUAGAAGGAAGCAGAGAUCAAGAGAGAUAUAAUUCUUGCCCUAACAGAUUCCAAUGGGAAGACUGUAAAUGGGAUGUGCAGAAAGGGUGAUUGGAGCUUAGCAAAAAAUGCUUAAAUGAGUAAAAUAUCUGAGAAUCUUGUACCUUACAAUCAUGCUGUUACUUAUGACGAAAGAGCUUUAUCCUAUAACCGUAAAGCUUCAUCUUUGCUGAUAAAAAGUGUGAGAGGAAAUUAUCCCUUGACGAUGUAUAACUCUACAAAUGACCGUAACAAAGAGAAAGUGCUCUGGGUUUCGAAAAUGAAGCUGUUUUUUACCACAAGCAUAAAUGAAAUCUUUUACAACUAAUGAAAAAGAGCUUUCGAGGUUUAAGAUAAAAUAAGCAGCAUAUUUGGUGCUUUUGAAAGACCGUGAACCUGAAAUGUGUGAGUAUUUAUUAGUAAUGAAAACAUACCCAGACACAGAAGGCGUAUGCAAUAUGGCAGCGCCUAUGAAAGGUAUUUUAAAUUACCAGAAAGACAAAGAAAUAGCAUUAUUUUAGAGCUCACUGUUCAAGGGUGGCUCUUAUAUUCUCUGACAGUCAUCGAGAUAAUUGCAGUGGCUACAAGGGUACACACCCAAAUCUUCAAGAUUAAACCAGUACAGGUUAUGGCAAAGGAACCAUUAUGACACAUUUUAACCUCCUUACGCUGGCCCGUGACAGCACAUUCUGUUGUGUUAUUGUCCCAUCAGAAGUCAACCAGCUCUUAUCACAAGCUCUGUCAUCUUGAUAUGAGUGAUUUUUAACAGGAAGUAGCAAGAAUGAACUCUUUCUUUCUAUCUGAACACAAAGGUGGCGUUUGAUUGGAGCUGCAGGGAAGCCUGGCAAUGGUUCAGGCAACACCCUCCAUUUCCUCUUCCUUGUUCGACAUUUAUUGACAUGUAAUUGAUAAAUAAAGUUGUAAGAUAUUUAAAGUCUACGAGGUGAAAGUGUUUCCUCCAUCAAGACAAUUAGCACACGUAUCACCUCACAAUUUACUUUGUGCACACGUGUGUGUGUACAUGUAAUUCCUAAUCUCUUAGAAAACUUCAAUCAUACAGAACCGUGUUAUCAAUUUGGACGGCCAUGCUAUACAAUAGUCCUCAGACCUUACUCGUCUUAGAGCUGAAAGUCUGAAAACACUCCAUAUCUUUAGAGCUAGUAGCUGCCUUAUGAUCUGAAAAUAUCACCAAUUCUUUAUAAACAGUAGGCUAGUAGGUGCUGUAGGCUUCGUUCAAAGGCAGAAACUGAGUACUUACCCAUAUUGAGAGGAUUUUUGUCAGUCAAGUGAAAUCAUAGCAUCUUGCUAAAUAAUUUAAAUAUCUAGCACCCAUGGGAAAACGUGAGAUCUCCUGGAUCUUUUCUGGAUACAUGCGGAGAAGUCAUGAGCUUGCAGCUCCUUAGAGGUAGAUAAACACAGCCGUAAAGAAUUACUAAUCACUCUCAUUAUUGUGUGUUCAUGAUAAACACCACCUACUUUCAACCCUGUGAAAGAAACAGCGCUACAAAUGGUCAUUCCUCCUCUGAUGUGUCUCUUCUUACACAAAGACAACACAAAAGUAAUUAGGAAUUAGUUGAAACUACCCUAAGCUAAAGUUGGUCUCCCAGGAUACACGAAGUUUGCAACAGACCUGGGACUUUCUCUUCCCUCUCUCUCAGAUCUAUUUCAGCGUUAGUGUUCCUGGCAGAGUGGACGUCUAAAAUGGCUUUGAUGGGAAAAGAACACUCUCUCAAAUCAGAGAAUGUGAAAUAUUACACAACGGAGACAGCUUUGUGUGAGUUGAUCAUCCCGGAAUAAUAAUCAUGAGAAAGGAACAGAAAGGUGUAAGCGGAAUCACUGGUGACACUUCCCACUUGACAAAGUUAUGUUAGAAAUGUCAUGGGGGAAGAAUACCUAUUUUGGUCACUGGAGAACUGAGGGAUGCUUUCCUAUCUCCAUCGCUCACGGUAACUCCACGGAGAACGCAGGUAGUCAUUGGGUACCCACAUGCAUCUUUGCUGUGAUUUCCAGGUAUCCAUUCCUUUAAAUCCUAGUGGUAUGAUCUACCCACUUCUCACAUAAGGAUACUUGCUACUGUUAUACAGUUAAAGUUGUUGUAUCACUCAGGAUACCCCGGGUUGCAUUUCAGUAACAAAUGACCCUGAUAACUCAGUGGCUUACAGAACACUAACUAACUAACAGACAGGGUGCACCUGGUGGCCCACACAAGCAGCUCUCUUCCAAGUGGUUACUCAGGGACUCAGGCUAUAGACAGAAGGAACCUGCCCAUGUUGGCGUCAUUUGCUUCUGGCCAAGAGGACUAGGGGUGGAGAUGUGGGGGCUGAAGUAUAAAUAAGUCACACGUACUCUUCACUGCACAGAUCUGGAAGUGAUCCGUCACUUCCACUCUAGGUCCAUGGAUAAGAAUUCCUGAGACGGCCCCAUUUAGAUGCUUAGAAACUCAGAAAUGGAGGGGGGGGAUAAAAAGCCACAUGGAGAGAAGGUGAGACUAUUGGUCUCCGCUGCAGUAAUAGAAUCUGGAAAAUGUUGCUACCUAUGGGGAUUCCAGGGAGCCCUUUAGGGAGAUACUAUGUGUGAGCCGCUGCUACUGCACCCUCUGACCAGGAGGCACUGGUGUUUGGAAACCUCAGCAGAAGAACAAGCGCAUGACUGGGUCCCCAGAGUGCGGGCUGGCUGCUCCACCGCAGGAUGUCUCUGGAAGGAUGGGAGAAUGAGGUGGUUACUUCCCUCAGCUAAGAGCAGGGCUGCUGGGAGCGAGGGGUUAUUGCUCACUGCCAUGAAGCAAGUGACAGAAAGCCAGUGGGGUCUAACUCUGGUCUUUGCACACUGGUAAUAACGUGGAAAAGUCUGAGUGUGGGGCUUUGCCUGGCAAUUGCAGCGUUUUUCCACACAUAAGUGGAUAAAAUCAUUGAAGGGUUCCUA